UACGUAGGCAGCAAGCGUUGUUCGGAGUUACUGGGCGUAAAGGGUGUGUAGGCGGUUCUUUAAGUUUGGUGUGAAAUCUCCCGGCUCAACUGGGAGGGUGCGCCGAAUACUGAGGGACUAGAGUACGGGAGAGGAAAGUGGAAUUCCUGGUGUAGCGGUAGAAAUGCGUAGAUAUCAGGAGGAACACCGGUGGUGUAGACGGCUUUCUGGACCGUAACUGACGCUGAGACACGAAAGCGUGGGUAGCAAACAGG
rnacentral:rRNA from 1 species